GAUGAACGCUGGCGGCGUGCCUAAUACAUGCAAGUCGAGCGAACAGACGAGGAGCUUGCUCCUCUGACGUUAGCGGCGGACGGGUGAGUAACACGUGGAUAACCUACCUAUAAGACUGGGAUAACUUCGGGAAACCGGAGCUAAUACCGGAUAAUAUAUUGAACCGCAUGGUUCAAUAGUGUAAGACGGUUUUGCUGUCCCUUCUACAUGGAUCCGCGCCGCAUUAGCUAGUUGGUAAGGUAACGGCUUACCAAGGCAACGAUGCGUAGCCGACCUGAGAGGGUGAACGGCCACACUGGAACUGAGACACGGUCCAGACUCCUACGGGAGGCAGCAGUAGGGAAUCUACCGCAAUGGGCGAAAGCCUGACGGAGCAGCGCCGCGUGAGUGAUGAAGGUCUGCGGAUCGUAAAACUCUGUUAUGAGGGAAGAACAAAUGUGUAAGUAACUAUGCACGUCUUGACGGUACCUAAUCAGAAAGCCACGGCUAACUACGUG
rnacentral:rRNA from 1 species